rnacentral:rRNA from 1 species
ACGAACGCUGGCGGCGUGCUUAACCCAUGCCAGUCGAACGGAAAGGCCCUGCUUGCCGGGUACUCGAGUGGCGAACGGGUGAGUAACACGUGGGUGAUCUUCCCUGCACUUCGGGAUAAGCCUGGGGAACUGGGUCUAAUACCGGAUAGGAGCCAUUUUUAGUGUGAUGGUUGGAAAGUUUUUUCGGUGUAGGAUGAGCUCGCGGCCUAUCAGCUUGUUGGUGGGGUAAUGGCCUACCAAGGCGGCGACGGGUAGCCGGCCUGAGAGGGUGGACGGCCACAUUGGGACUGAGAUACGGCCCAGACUCCUACGGGAGGCAGCAGUGGGGAAUAUUGCACAAUGGGCGCAAGCCUGAUGCAGCGACGCCGCGUGGGGGAUGACGGCCUUCGGGUUGGAAACUCCUUUCGCUAGGGACGAAGCUUUUUGUGACGGUACCUAGAUAAGAAGCACCGGCUAACUACGUG